UGGAGGUUAGAUUUUGCUGGUCUUCAACCCGUUCUACCUGCUCUAGAAAUAAAGAGAAGGCUUUAAUGAGGGAGAGAGUUGUAAAGAUAUGAGAUGUAUACAACUUAUGCAAGCCUAAUGACUACUUUGUCGUUGUAUACAA